rnacentral:tRNA from 1 species
GCCUGGGUGGCUCAGUCGGUUGAGCAUCAGACUUUGGCUUAGGUCAUGAUCUCGUGGUUCUUGGGUUCGAGCCCCACAUCGGGCU